AUCACGGGUGAAUAUUGGCAAUUUUGUCAUUUUUAUUCAAUAAUUAUACUUCAUAUUUCUAUUUUAUUGUAAGUUGGCAAAAUAAAAACAUUAUACUGUUCUUAGUGAUAGAACAUUCUUGUAUUUUUCCUGAUUCUAAAGCAAAUGUUUCCAAGAUUUUUAUCAUCAGUAAUAAUGUUUGCUAUAGUUUUGCAUCUUAAAUAUUUUUAAUCAGACUGGGGCAGUUCUUAUCUACUCCUAUUUGAUGAGAGGUUGAUUCAAAAGUUAGUAUCAAACUUUCAGAAUGAUUUUCUGUGUCUUUUCAGAUAAUUGUACACUUUUUAUCAUUUUCUUGCAGCGACUUACACUGAAAGAUUUUCUCAUGUUAACCAUUGUUGGGUCCCUGGGAUAAAGCUACUCUGGCCAUUGCUGGAUUUGGCUUGCCCGCUUUCUUUUUUCGGACUUUUGUAUCCAGAUUUCUGAAUAAGAAUGACUUAUCAUUACAGUUGCUUCUGCCAGAAAUGUCACUAUUUGUAUCAAGGUUAUGCUAGCCUCAUAAAUUUUUACAUACUAGAUUCGUUUGUAUGAGAAUGCUAUUAUUUGUUAAUGAAGAAAUGAACUCUUUUCAUAAUGUAUUAGGAGCAGACCUCAUAAGAUGUUUAGGUAUUAGGGGCUUAGUAAUAAUAUUAGAAAGACUCUAAAUUUUAAUUGUGCUACCCAUAUGACCUUACUAUUGUAUGUAUAGAGACAAUCAUGGGAUAAGGAUAAAGGAUGCUUAUUUGCCUCUAUUCUAGAUUACAAAAUCAGGGAUAAGUGAUGGAAGAUCAUUGAUUCAAUAGUCAAUAUAGGUGUCUGUUUCUUAGAGAGAUAAGUGAAAUUUCUCCCUAGAUUGCUUUUUAGCAAUGAUAAAUUGCAGUAAUUGAAAAAAAGCUUUGACUGGAUAUUUUCUGGCAGCUUUGCUUAGAGAAACAGACUGUAGGAAAGCUGAUUUCUCAAUCCAUAAUUUUUAUAAUUGAUACUUUGAUAAAACUGCUGGUAGCUAUGACAACUCCUCUAGAAUUAUGCUAAAGUAUAUUAUUUAUUAAAUGUAUAGCAGUCAAACAGAGUUUCUUUUAACACAUAUUUCAAUGUGGUGUACUGUUCAAACAUUUUUACCAAAAGAGUUUACUUUCUAUAGUAUAAGAAAGCUGGAAUAUAUGCUCCAGUAAAUCUGAGAGAUACCCCCACAUGGCCAAUGCAAACUCAAAAUUUCUUUAAGAUCUCUUGUUUUAAAGUCUCAUGUGACUAUCCCUACUCCAUAAUACAUUUACAUUUGUUAAUAAAAAUAGUUUAAUCUCUGUAAAGUAUCUAUGAAAAUUAUGUUUAUUCAUGACUUUGGUGAUCCUUAGACCAUCGCUGAGUGUUGAUAUAGUUAUAGGAAUCCCAAUUUUAGGAAAACAUGUUAAAGCAUUCCUUAGUGGCCUCAUUGUGAGACUAUAUCUGAAUUGGAAGGACUUUGUGAUAUUAGGCAAGAAUGUUCCUCUAUGAAAGAAGUGAUCCAAAAAUGAAUGAGAAGGGAAGAAAACAUUUCACAUAGGGGCACUGUGCCUUGUAUGGUACUUGGCAUGAAGUAAGUGCUCAAUAAAUAGUUGUUGGCUGAGUUAAUAUACUUUUAAAAUGCUGAUCUCUGAUAAAAUCUAAAGGCCUAAAGAGAUGUUUGGAAGUCGAUAGGAAUGGUUUUGGCUUUUAUUCUUCUUAGAUUGCUAGACAGCUUUUUUUAGUUACCAGGAAGUAUAUUCUAAAAUGCUUUCAGAGUCAGGGAGAACAUAUCCAUUUGCAUAUUUUGUGUUAGGGUAUUUACAUUCCAUAAUUUACAAGACACUGAAAUUUCUUGGAUUGGAGAGGAAUAACUUAUUGAGAUGGCAUGGCAACCUACUUUUCUAAAAUAGAGGUAAUUUCUGGGCUUUUUGGCUUCACCUGAUUGGGAGAAGGGUCUUACAGUAAUAGAAGACUUUUUGACAUGAAGCAUUUCAUUGUUCAGUUCACCCACUAACACUCUCAGGCUUUGUCAGAGCUAUUGAGGAGCUUACUGAGCUGUUAAUAACAUAGCACUUUGUUUCUCUGGUGCUUUUCUUUUCUUACAGGUCCUCAAUUGGGAUUCCUUAACAUAGGAUAAGUGAGAGAGCAGAUUAGUUUAGGACAGUUCUGGUGCCUUAAUAAAAAUCUUCUCAUACUCACACCAGGGUGCCGCAUUUUAUAGAGGAGGAAACUGCACCCUUCUAAGGAAAUGACCUUGUCUGCAUUCACACAGUUAGGAUUUGAACCCACAGGACUUCAGAGCCCAGGCUUUAGAUCACUGACUGAUAAAUGUGUUUGAUUGUAAGCUUUUAAAGUUCAGUAAGAAAGGAGCAAGAGGAGCAGGUAACAACAAAUUGUUAAUAUCCUAAGGCAACUGAGAAAGAUGAAAUGUUGUUUCUUCAAAGUAGAGCUUGCCUGAGUGGCCAGUAUAAUCUGAGUCGUGACCUAGAGCCAGCAGCAUGUGUUAUUAGGAGACAGGAACUUAGCGUUGAGGCAGGUGUUGCAUCCUCCUCAUAAGAUGUACGUAUCUUUCUCCCCACAUGCAGCAGAGCACUGGACAUGUAAAAAUGUCCUAGAAAUAAAGAUGUCAGCCAACUGAGCUUGAUUAUGUCUGGUUGUUUACUUAUCUAUAUUAGUAUGUACGUUAAUUUCAUCAAGUGAAUAUUUAGUACAAUAAGGAAAACUAUUGAUUUUAAAGAUAUAUUUCCUUUUUACGUGGAAUCUUUGGAUCUGGAUCUUCUGGAUUUCUUAAGAUUUAGUUUGGAGAGGGUACUUAUUUAAUUAAACAAGAAAACUCAUUGAGAAACUAAGUUAUCUAUUAAGGUAGAAUGCUAGGGAAUGCCCAGUGUGAUGUGAAUCUUAAGUCCCUGCUACACUGUAAGCUUCCAGAGGCAGGGGCCUUCCCUCUCAUAUUCAUACUGUGCUCUUGGUCAUGUGUCUAGGCCAAUGCCUGGCACAUAAUAGGCACUUAAAAAUAAAGAUUUGUUAAAUGAUUGUUUAAUUUUCUACCCAAUUUGUUUUUCUUCCUUCAUAUGGAAGGUAAUAAGAAAUUGUGUUUUAGUGGAGAAUUGGGUGUGAAAGAGCGCACAUAAAUAAAAUUAAAUGUCUUAUUAUUAUUAUUUAAAAAAAAAUAAAAAACAAAAACAACUUAUUGGGGCCAAGAUGGCCUACUAGAAACAGCUACAGUCAGAGGCUCCCACUGAGAGGAAGGAAAAUGCCAAAUGAUUCCUGCACCGGCAACUAAGGUAUCCAGGAUCUCUCGACUGACUAGGCAGUUGGCAUGACCCACAGAGAGCAAGGAAAAGUUAAUCUAGCAGGCACAUUUUAAGACUCUGCAAUAUGCAACAGAUUUGCUAAAACAUAGCUCCCCUUACUAACCCUUCAAGGGUUAUGUUCUUUUUAACAAUUAAAGAAAUUCUAUAUUUUAUAUGCUACUCUAACCUUUUGAGAAUACAAUUCUCAUCUGUAAUAGUUAUAAUAGAUAUUUCUGAUAUGAUUCCCAAUACCAUAUUUUAUCAGAAAGAAAAUACUAUCUUUAUUCUUUUAACAAGAUUCCGAAAUGUUCUAUCACUUUCAUCUUUUUCAUAAAUAUUUUUAAGGUACUUUUUGUGAAUUUUUUACUUUUCACAUUUCAGUUAAUCAUUUGGUUGAAAAAGCUAAUAACUCAUAUUUUCAGAGAUUUAUACUUUAAUAUUAGGUCUGUUCCUGAUGGUUAUGCUUAUGUAAAGAUAUAUUCUUGAAAGUUUAAAUUUAUAAAGGUAAUAUAAAAGUAAAAUUUAUAAAGCCACUUUCUAAUGAAAAUUAUUAGACUACUAUGUUUCUGGAUUAGUUUUACCAAAAGUCAGGGUUGAGUGUACAAGGAGAAAAACCUCCAGCAUGAUUAAAUGGGCUUGUGAAAUUAGUGCCCCAGCGGUGAUGUUAGCAGUCAUAUGUUCUUUAAAAAUAAAAUAAUAUUAAAAACAGUGCACAGUAUGCAGUUCUAGAAAUGGUCCCAUGAGUCCAUGACAACAGACUCUAGGUUUUAUUUUCUAGCAAUAAUGCUUGGACUUAUCACUUUACCUUCCCCACCUGCCCAUGUGACCUACAAACAUUCACAACAUGAUGAGCAGGGUUCACAAUGCAGCCAGUGCUUAUGGAACCCAGUGCGUCUGUUUUGGCCCUUUUAAUCAUCAGACCAUUCCCUACAUAACUUGAAACUGAAUCAGAAAAAGCAAGCCAGAUCUAACAAGAAAGGGAGGAAAUGCCCUUCAGCUGGAUUGAGAUACCUCCAAUAGAUGAGGUAUGACAUGAAUCUCAUGCAUCUUUUACUCAUCCACUCCAUGCUGCCUCCUAUACUGUACUUCCCAUGGAUGAGAAUAACAAAAUAACGUUUGUUUAUGGUGGACUUAUUUUUAGUGUGUGGUUUUAUUUUUUUUUUUUUAUUUAUUUUUUUUUUCAUUAUUUCCUUUUUUUUCCUCCUUUGUUUCUUCUCAGGGAUCAGCAAAUUCUGUUUUCACUUUUUAAGACUAAUAAUAAUUUUAGAGAAACAUAUCAGCCUUAACAAAGUUUGGUCAUAUUCCCCUCUCAGGAAGAAUAGUUUUAACCAAAAAACAAUUUAGAGUUUAUUCCUUUUUUUAAGAACAAAAAAAAAAAC